CAAAAUUCAUCUUUAUAUCCAGAUCGGAUCAAAUAACAUCGUGAACCAAACGGAUCGAAACGACGACGUUGUGUGUUGACUCCUCCUCCUUGUUUCUCACUUGCUGCCCUCAUUUCUAGUUCAGGGCUCUCUCUCUCUCUGUCUCUCUAUAAGGGUUGUUGUGAUCGGAAGGAAGUGUGAUCGAGCUCCUCUUUUUGAGGUACUGUAAGAUAUGACAAUAAAACCAACAGUAGCCCUGAGGGCUCUACUUGUAGGAGGUGUUGCUGCAUUUGCAAAAAUUGCUGGCGCCAUGAAAGCUGCCAGUGGUGUCAAGUUGGGGGCAGCAGCAGCUGCCAUGACAGCGGCAGCAACUGCAGCUAUGUCGGGAUCAAAACAAGAACCGGAGGAUUCUUCUAAGCAAUCUACAAAAUGACAUUUUUUUUUUUUUUUGGGUGCAGAUUUAUGUGUUAAUAAUACAAGCAUCGUCUAGACAGCUAGUUGUUUUCAGUGAGCUUGUUGGGGGAUAUGGAAUGUUGCAAUCCAGAUAGUUGUAGGAUGUAUGAACAAUUGGAGUUGUGUCUUACCCAGAUGUUAAUUUUGCAGAAACAAGUCAUUGAUCUUUGUGGGAAGAAGUUACUUGAAAUGGAGAGUUUUCUUUGCUAUGGCUUGAUUCUA